rnacentral:rRNA from 1 species
CCUACGGGGGGCAGCAGUGAGGAAUAUUGGUCAAUGGGCGGAAGCCUGAACCAGCCAAGUAGCGUGCGGGAUGAAGGCCCUACGGGUCGUAAACCGCUUUUGCACGGGGAUAACACCCUCCACUUGUGGAGGUCUGCAGGUACCGUUCGAAUAAGGGCCGGCUAAUUCCGUGCCAGCAGCCGCGGUAAUACGGAAGGCCCGAGCGUUAUCCGGUUUCAGUGGGCUUAACGGGAGCGUAGGCGGGCGUUCAGGUCAGCUGUAAAAUCGCGCGGCUCAACCGCGCCCCGCAGUUGAAACUGGACGCCUUGAGUUCACAACAGGCAGGCGGAAUUCGUGGUGUAGCGGUGAAAUGCAGAGAUAUCACGAGGAACCCCGAUUGCGAAGGCAGCCUGCCGGGGUGCGACUGACGCUGAGGCUCGAAGGUGCGGGUAUCAAACAGGAUUAGAUACCCUUGUAGUC